GGUGAGAUGGCCGAGUGGUUAUGGCGCCGUGUUCAGGCUAAUUUGGCAGUUGAGAUUCUAUGGUCUUCCUGUUGAAAUUCGCGGUGGAGCAAUCCGCGUGGGUUCGAGUCCCACUCUCAUCA